rnacentral:tRNA from 1 species
GGCCGCGAUAGCCGAGUGGUUAGCAUUGAGCACUGCCAUUCCGAAGGCCCGGGCUCAAAUCCCGGUGCGAC